AGCGAACGCCGGCGGCAGGCCUAACACAUGCAAGUCGAACGAACCCUUCGGGGUUAGUGGCGGACGGGUGAGUAACACGUGGGAACGUGCCUUUAGGUUCGGAAUAACUCAGGGAAACUUGUGCUAAUACCGAAUGUGCCCUUCGGGGGAAAGAUUUAUCGCCUUUAGAGUGGCCCGCGUCUGAUUAGCUAGUUGGUGAGGUAAUGGCUCACCAAGGCUACGAUCAGUAGCUGGUCUGAGAGGAUGACCAGCCACAUUGGGACUGAGACACGGCCCAAACUCCUACGGGAGGCAGCAGUGGGGAAUCUUGCGCAAUGGGCGAAAGCCUGACGCAGCCAUGCCGCGUGGAUGAUGAAGGUCUUAGGAUUGUAAAAUCCUUUCACCGGUGAAGAUAAUGACUGUAGCCGGAGAAGAAGCCCCGGCUAACUUCGUGCCAGCCGCCGCGGUAAUAC
rnacentral:rRNA from 1 species